UUCGGGUUGUAAACCUCUUUCAGUAGGGAAGAAGCGAAAGUGACGGUACCUGCAGAAGAAGCACCGGCUAACUACGUGCCAGCAGCCGCGGUAAUACGUAGGGUGCGAGCGUUAUCCGGAAUUAUUGGGCGUAAAGAGCUNANAANACGGUUUGUCGCGUCUGUCGUGAAAGUCCGGGGCUUAACCCCGGAUCUGCGGUGGGUACGGGCAGACUAGAGUGCAGUAGGGGAGACUGGAAUUCCUGGUGUAGCGGUGGAAUGCGCAGAUAUCAGGAGGAACACCGAUGGCGAAGGCAGGUCUCUGGGCUGUAACUGACGCUGAGGAGCGAAAGCAUGGGGAGCGAACAGGAUUAGAUACCCUGGUAGUCCAUGCCGUAAACGUUGGGCA
rnacentral:rRNA from 1 species